rnacentral:rRNA from 1 species
AUUGAACGCUGGCGGCAGGCCUAACACAUGCAAGUCGAACGGUAGCACAGAGAGCUUGCUCUCGGGUGACGAGUGGCGGACGGGUGAGUAACGUCUGGGAAACUGCCCGAUGGAGGGGGAUAACUACUGGAAGCGGUAGCUAAUACCGCAUAACGUCGCAAGACCAAAGUGGGGGACCUUCGGGCCUCACACCAUCGGAUGUGCCCAGAUGGGAUUAGCUAGUAGGUGGGGUAAUGGCUCACCGAGGCGACGAUCCCUAGCUGGUCUGAGAGGGUGACCAGCCACACGGGAACUGAGACACGGUCCAGACUCCUACGGGAGGCAGCAGUGGGGAAUAUUGCACAAUGGGCGCAAGCCUGAUGCAGCCAUGCCGCGUGUAUGAAGAAGGCCUUCGGGUUGUAAAGUACUUUCAGCGGGGAGGAAGGCGGUGAAGUUAAUAGCUUCACCGAUUGACGUUACCCGCAGAAGAAGCACCGGCUAACUCCGUGCCAGCCGCCGCUGUAA